rnacentral:rRNA from 1 species
UACGGAGGGAGCUAGCGUUGUUCGGAAUUACUGGGCGUAAAGCGCGCGUAGGCGGCUUUGUAAGUUAGAGGUGAAAGCCCGGGGCUCAACCCCGGAACUGCCUUUAAAACUGCAUCGCUUGAAAUCCGGGGAGAGGUGGAGUGGAAUUCCCGGUGUAGCGGUGAAAUGCGUAGAUAUCGGGAGGAACAUCAGUGGCGAAGGCGGCUACCUGGCCCCAAUACUGACACUCAGGUGCGACAGC